CAAAAGGCUUUUCUUUAAGUCUGUAACCAACUAUAAAAAGCCACCUACCACACAAUAGAGGGAUUACU